ACGCCGCCGCCUCCACCUGCAUCGCCCUGCUGCCUCGCGGGCCUUCGUGCGCCCUACGCGCCACCACCAGGCGUCCCAGGCCCAGCGCCGCUGCUUGCCUGUUCGCGAAGCCGAGACUCUGGGCGAUCUCCGUUGGUGCUGCAGGUGGAUCAACGCCCAGCCCUACGUGCCGUCGCCCCUUUGCUCGCGCGCCUCUGGCAGCAGGAGCCGCGAGGCCCCUCCUGCACGUGCGCGUGCGCCCUCGCUACAGCAGCUCGCCGGAGCGAGCACCGCCGCCGGCCGUCAGUUGCCGAUUCGUCGCAGCCGUAACACGGAUUGCAAAUCCAAGGCCACCACGUCGAUCACUGCGUCGAGCUGAAGCCGUUUCGCCAGCCCUCGUCGCCCCUCCAUCGCCGGACACCGCCGUCCGCCCGAGAGCCGCCGUCCGCGGAGCAGCACCUGCACUGGUUGCCGCCGGCCAAUUUCAGCAAAGCAAAGCGCCAGGAGUCUCCAGGAGGCUUGUCCGCCAUGGACGUUUGGUUCUCGAGCUUUUGCAAAAGCACCCUCAAGCAACUCGAUCCGACCCUGCCCUCUCAUCAAAUCAAAGAUCGUUGUUUGAAGCUUAAAGAAUCAAGAAGCUUGUAUGAGCAAGAGCAGAAGAGCCGUAAGAGUAGCUUUUUAUUGGAGAAAGGCAAGUGACCCUAACCAUCUUUCUAUCUAUGCUUAUUUACAAGAGUAUUAUGAUGAUUUAAUUGGAACAUGGAGAACCACCCAAGAAAACAGUA